rnacentral:rRNA from 1 species
GCAUAGGAAUCUGCCCGGUAGUGGGGGAUAACCUGGGGAAACCCAGGCUAAUACCGCAUACGUCCUACGGGAGAAAGCAGGGGAUCUUCGGACCUUGCGCUAUCGGAUGAGCCUAUGUCGGAUUAGCUUGUUGGUGAGGUAAUGGCUCACCAAGGCGACGAUCCGUAGCUGGUCUGAGAGGAUGAUCAGCCACAUCGGGACUGAGACACGGCCCGAACUCCUACGGGAGGCAGCAGUGGGGAAUAUUGGACAAUGGGCGAAAGCCUGAUCCAGCCAUGCCGCGUGUGUGAAGAAGGCUUUCGGGUUGUAAAGCACUUUCAGUGAGGAAGAAGGCCUUGGGGCUAAUACCCCCGAGGAAGGACAUCACUCACAGAAGAAGCACCGGCUAACUCCGUGCCAGCAGCCGCGGUAAUACGGAGGGUGCGAGCGUUAAUCGGAAUUACUGGGCGUAAAGCGCGCGUAGGCGGCGUGAUAAGCCGGUUGUGAAAGCCCCGGGCUCAACCUGGGAACGGCAUCCGGAACUGUCAGGCUAGAGUGCAGGAGAGGAAGGUAGAAUUCCCGGUGUAGCGGUGAAAUGCGUAGAGAUCGGGAGGAAUACCAGUGGCGAAGGCGGCCUUCUGGACUGACACUGACGCUGAGGUGCGAAAGCGUGGGUAGCAAACAGGAUUAGAUACCCUGGUAGUCCACGCCGUAAACGAUGUCGACUAGCCGUUGGGGUCCUUGAGACCUUUGUGGCGCAGUUAACGCGAUAAGUCGACCGCCUGGGGAGUACGGCCGCAAGGUUAAAACUCAAAUGAAUUGACGGGGGCCCGCACAAGCGGUGGAGCAUGUGGUUUAAUUCGAUGCAACGCGAAGAACCUUACCUACCCUUGACAUCGUGCGAACUUUCCAG